AAGUCGUAUGCCCAAAAAGAUGUGAUGUCGAGCGCAAGUUAAAGUGGCCUAGCUUCCCCAAGCAAUCGGUGUUCUGUCAGUGUCACUGAUUGUGCAAGGAUAACGCUUUACGGAUGCUGUAGGCCGAUCACCGGCCGGCGUCGUGGCCAGCGGCCUAACCGGCCCCUUACAAAACAACCAGUAGUUAGCGAUUACUCCACGACAUAGUCAAGUGGCGCCGUCCUGGAGUUUAACGAACAACUGUUAACAAUGGAUAUCUUGGUUCUC
rnacentral:misc_RNA from 1 species